UACGUAUGGUGCAAGCGUUAUCCGGAUUUACUGGGUGUAAAGGGAGCGCAGGCGGUCUGGCAAGUCUGAUGUGAAAGCCCGGGGCUCAACUCCGGGAUUGCAUUGGAAACUGUCAGACUAGAGUGUCGGAGAGGUAAGUGGAAUUCCUAGUGUAGCGGUGAAAUGCGUAGAUAUUAGGAGGAACACCAGUGGCGAAGGCGGCUUACUGGACGAUAACUGACGCUGAGGCUCGAAAGCGUGGGGAGCAAACAGG
rnacentral:rRNA from 1 species